UCAUUAGAUCUGUUGUCUUGGUCGCAUC
rnacentral:sRNA from 1 species